rnacentral:rRNA from 1 species
AGGACUAACGCUGGCGGCGUGCCUAACACAUGCAAGUCGAACGAGAGUAGCAAUACUCUAGUGGCAGACGGGUGAGUAACACGUGGUCAACCUACCUUUAAGUGGGGGAUAACUAGCCGAAAGGUUAGCUAAUACCGCAUACGAUCUUCGCGUGGCAUCACAUGAAGAUGAAAGGAGCAAUCCGCUGAAAGACGGGACCGCGUCCCAUUAGCCAGUUGGUGGGGUAACGGCCUACCAAAGCAACGAUGGGUAGCUGGCUUGAGAGAGCGACCAGCCACACUGGGACUGAGACACGGCCCAGACUCCUACGGGAGGCAGCAGUGAGGAAUUUUCCGCAAUGGGCGAAAGCCUGACGGAGCGACGCCGCGUGUGGGAUGAAGGCCUUCGGGUCGUAAACCACUGUCGAAGGGGAAGAUAUUGACGGUACCCUUGGAGGAAGCCCCGGCUAACUACGUGCCAGCAGCCGC